rnacentral:rRNA from 1 species
CCUACGGGAGGCAGCAGUGGGGAAUCUUGCACAAUGGGCGAAAGCCUGAUGCAGCAACGCCGCGUGCGGGAAGAAGGCCCUAGGGUUGUAAACCGCUUUCAGUAGGGAAGAAAAUGAUGGUACCUACAGAAGAAGGUGCGGCCAACUACGUGCCAGCAGCCGCGGUGACACGUAGGCACCAAGCGUUAUCCGGAUUUAUUGGGCGUAAAGAGCUCGUAGGCGGUUCGGUAAGUCGGGUGUGAAAACUCUGGGCUCAACCCAGAGAGGCCACCCGAUACUGCUGUGACUAGAGUGCGGUAGGGGAGCGGGGAAUUCCUGGUGUAGCGGUGAAAUGCGCAGAUAUCAGGAGGAACACCAGCGGCGAAGGCGCCGCUCUGGGCCGUAACUGACGCUGAGGAGCGAAAGCAUGGGUAGCAAACAGGAUUAGAUACCCUGGUAGUCCAUGCCGUAAACGUUGGGCACUAGGUGUGGGUCUCAACCAACGAGAUCCGCGCCGUCGCUAACGCAUUAAGUGCCCCGCCUGGGGAGUACGGUCGCGAAGCUAAAACGUCAAAUGAAAUUGACGG